CUUGAAUGACUAGAUAGGACAUUUUUUAAUUUAAUCACAUUUUUGUGUUUAAUGUUUAAUUUAAAGUGAGAUCAGAUCCCAAUUCCUGCUAAGAGGAAAUCCUGUCCUCCUAUUUAGAAUAUUCCAAGAGAAUAAGGUGAAUCAAAUUACAACUGCAAAUCAGGUAUGGUAGCACAUGCCUAUAAUCCCAGCACCCAGGAGGCUGAGGCAGAAAGAUCGCUGUGAGUUUGAGACCAGCCUAGGCUACAUAGUGAGUUCAAGGCCAGCCCGAACUACACUGCCAGACCCUGUCUGAAAAAAAGAAAAAAAAAUUAGAACUGUAGCAAAGCCCAGCACCCCCUCCAGUGCAGAUCAGAUUGAUUUAGCAUCCCAUUCCUGACAAAAGAAGGGGCAUACCUUAUUCUAAAGGGAACUAUUACUUGUUUUUAUACCUAUUGUCCUUUUAUAGAAAAUUACCCAGUAAAAAAACUAUAGGACAUGCAAAGGAGCAGAAAACGUUGAUCCAGAGACAAAAGUCAGUAGAGGCAAACUCAGAUUAAUAGAUGUUUGAAUUGUUUGAAUUAUUGAGGGUUGACAAUAAUGAUAAAAAUGCUGAAAGAGCUAGGAAAAAAAGGUGGGGAGAAGGAGACAUGUAUGAAGAGAUAUAAGAUUUUAGCAGAGACCUGGAAACAGAAAAAUACAAACAAUUCUAGAAUAUGACCUAAGAUAACACAUAAAGGAAUAGAUGAAUAAACUUGAAGACAGAGCAGUUGAAAGUAUACAAAGUUAAAGAAAAGGAUUGACAAUAGAAUAUCAAAAUUAAUAAAAAUCAGAUUUGAAGGCAAAAUCAGUUAGUCUGCCAUCCCUGUAAUUGAGCUACGGAAGCAGAUUUAGAGAAUGGUAGAGAAGAAAUGUUCAGACACUUUGACCAUGGAUUCCUUUGAAAUUUAUGGAAAUCAGCACAGAGAAAAACCCAAACAGUUCUCUUAAAUAAUUAAAAUUGAUAAACACUUAGAAAAGACUGAUACUGUUAUACCAGGCUAAAUGUAUCUUCCCCCCAAAUUUAUAUUCACCUGGAACUACAGUGUCACCUAUUUGGGAAUUGGGUUUUUGGUGAAAUUAGUAACUUCAUACUACAUUAAGGUUGGCCUUAAAUCAAAUGACCGAUGUCCUUAUAAGAAGGCCAUGGAGAAAUGUGGGCAUAUAGAAAAGGCCAUGUGAAAAUGGAGGCAGAGAUUAGAGUGAUGCAGCUACAAACUAAAGGUGCCCACAGGAGAAGCUAAGAAAAGGCAAAGGAUCCUUUCCUGGAAUCUUUAGAGGGAACCUUGAUUUCGGACCUCUAACCUCUAGAUCUGUGGAAGAGUAAUUUGUGUGUGUACAUGUGUGGUACUAGGUAUUGAACGGAGGGUCUGUGCACUGAUCUACAUCCCUGGCCCUAUUUUAAUUUUUGAGACAGAAUCUUGCUAAAUUUCCCAGCCUGGGUUCAAACUUACGAUAUUCCUGCCUCAUCCUCCGCAAGUCCUGGGAUUACAGGUAUGCACCACCACACCCUGGACAAAUUUGUUUUAGGCCACCUGGUUCAUGAUUAUUUGUCAUGGCAGUUUAGGAAAUUAUUCAAGUUAAAAAGAUCAUAACCAUUCUUGCUUCUGUGUGGUGUGGGGAGAAGCUGGUCAUCCAUAUCCUAUAGUGCUGCUACCUCACCCCUACCCUGUAGGGUCUGCAUCCAUAGGACCCUCAUUCUCCACUCCUUGGGGUACCACCCAGGAAGGUUACCUACCCUCUCCUUCAGGAGGGCUCCCUCCCACCCCCAUGAGCAGGAAUUUAGCAUUUUCCCUCCUUUCAGGGUUCAAAGGCAUGAAGGGCUCCCCUGUCACUUUAGGGGUGGAAGCACUAUAUUCAUCAUGCUAUCCUUAUCUGGACUAAGAACAGCCAAUUUGUUAUUAGAGAUAGCAGUGGGGCACAGGCCCUUCUCUAGUGUCCUGACCUAACAGCUUUUCCUGGCACUACCACACCACAGACAGUGCCUGUAGGGCUGACACCUGUGCUCUUUCUACCUGCUUGUUGUUCAUCUUGUCCCCGUCUCUGGCAAUCCAUUCCCUGAAUUCCCCAUUUCUAGAACUUUUCACCCAUCCUUUCCCUGAUCUUUUUCCAUUUCUUGACUGCAGCCAUGGAGUUACCAAAGGGACACUAGCAACAGCUGCUUCAAGAACUGAAGGAAGUACAGGAGGAAGAGUGGGAGCAGGAGCUGCAGGAGGGUGGAGGUGGCUACUUUAAACCAGUUUGAAUACCAAGGCAGAAUUAGAAGGGAGGUUGAAAAGGUAUAUGAGCAUUGUGAUGUCAAUGAAUGACAUUCUCAAUGUGUAUGUAUGCAAACCUCUCCUCCCUCUGGUGUGAGAAAAUCUACCUGGACCUCCUUUACUCGUGUCCUCACAGAAACUGCCCAAGCCCAGAAGUGUUACUGGGACAUGAUUUAGCUUUUUCAGUCAAGAACAUCUCAGAAAUCCCUGGCAGGUCAUCAAACCCCAGACAUGGAGACUUAGCUUUUCAUGACAUCUUGGUUGCAAUUUGGUCAACAAAAGGAGUACCAAGAUCGGUUCCAGUGCUAGUAUCUGUUCAACCUCAUUUUCUGUGUUGUGACCUUAUCUGCUACAUCUUUGAGGUAAUCCACGCUUCUAACGAACUUUUGAAUUCAAAUAUCUUCCCCCAAGAUGGCUCUUGACAACAUGGGUGUCAAAUGUUACUACCUCUAACGACAAACUGGCCUUGACUGACUGGCUGUUCUUUUGUCCAGAUGAGGAUAGCUUGAUGAAUGGAGGCAGCUGUCCUGGUCAUCCAUCACUCCUUGAAGUCUCCAGCCAUCAUUGCCACACUCCUUCACUUAAUGCACCACAUUAUUCCCUGUCCUGGUUAUGUCUAUGGGAACUUUUUAUAGUCCAUUUCUGUGGAGAGGUGCUGCCCCAGGAGUUCACUGAGGAAUCCCUGGAAAAGUCCAAAGGGAAACCUAUCUGCCUAAUAUUUUGGAUCCUGUGCCAGGUGCAGGAAAACAAGAGCAGCAUCUCUGUUUUUAGACUUCUCUAAGGUGUGUCAGAAGCAGUCCCAAAUUGGCUACCACCUGCUCUACUAUCUGAAGACCAGCAAAGCUGCAUCAGGGAAGAUGAACCUGGCCUAAGCUACCCAGCAAGGUGAUCUGUACACCUGCCUAAUGAUGGACAUGAAGGCCUGCGUGGAGGACAUGUGACUGCUGUGCCACCUUAUGACCUCCAUCUACGAGUUUUCAGAUGACACUUUGAGGAGUAGGAAGCUCUUGAACAUGAUUGUGACUAUUGACUCAGCACGACUUCAGGAGCUGGUCUGCUAUAUGAUGAUGGAGACCUAGUCAUGUUUUGAAAUGACUCAGACUUCAGCAUACUCAUCUAGAACCUGGAAUGGGAAAUCUUUGAGCAGUCUUGUGUCUGGCAGCUUUUCCUAGCCCACAACAUCUACCUGGAGACCAUAAUCAACAUUCCGUAGCAUGUCAAAUACCAGGAACACCCAGAGGCCUUAUCCUUCCUGCUGCUUCAGAAGCCCAGUGAGGAAAUAGUAAAGAUGAUGCUGAACCAGCCCUGCCAUUCUUAGGGCCAAUUCACCACCAUCAGCCUGUUGCACUGGCACAUAAAGCAUGAUAAGCUGCCAGGGGAGCACAUCAAGUUCCUGCUGAUCAAAAAACAGCCUCCCUCACAGGCAAAGCCUGAGGAGCUCCAGCAACAGGUUGGCCCAGCUGACCCUGGAGCAGAUCCUGGAGCACCUGGACAACCUGCAGCUCAAUCUGGCCAACACCAAGCAGAACUUUGUUAGCGAGAAUUAAUACUUUACUGUAGAAUGCACGGGAAAGCUGUGAGAAAGACCACAAGGUGAACUUCAGUAUCCUCUUCUCCCUGGGGAAGGACUAGGAGGACUCUUCCACUAAGCCACACAAGAGCUAGUGAAAGGCAGAUCUGUUCAGCUCUCCAAGUUGGAAGAAUGCCAGUUAGCCUCCCAAGGCUGAGGAGGAUAGGCUCCUGCAGUGCUUAGGAGAAAGAAGACACAAAACCCAAACCCAACAAGCAGAAAUGAAAAGGGCUCUCUGCAGUGGAUUCUGACAAUGACUGAGGCCCUGUGUUCCCAUGCCACUCCAGUUGGACUGCCCUCUUUCCUGGUGAAUCAUAAGGUAAUAGGGGCUUGGAAGAUAUAGGGGACACACCCUCUCCCUCCUGAAGUUUGCCUGGUGGGAAAGAUAAGCUGUUUCCUGUGGUCCACCGUGAGAAACUGUCAUGCAACUCCUCCCUUACCACCUCUUCUGCUCCCACCCCCACUGCUGCUCCCACUUGGUUUCUCAUGGCAGCCAGAGGCUGUAAAAAACAGACUGUGGUUUAGUAUUAUCCUCCCAGUCUCCCAAAGAACUAUUUCAGUAGAGAAGGAAGAUGACAAAAGGGCCUCUGGGCAGAGAAGCUAGGAUGAGAGUAGAUACUUAGUGUGUGGGUAUCUCUUCCUGCUUCCUCCACUCUCUUGAUUUCUUCUAAACAGACAUCUGGUAAUCAGUGUGCCUAAAACAGUGUGGUGAAUUGGAUUUCUGACUUGUGGUCAUUGUCCAUUCUGGGCAGUGCUACAACCUUCAGAAAUAAUCCUGAAAGGCCCCAGCCUGAAGUGCUCUGCCCAGGAAGAUUGGGUUGGCCUGAGGUUGGCACCUCACACUGGGCCAGAGCCCAGGGGAGUCCCAGAGGCAAACUGCUCAUAGCUGUAAAAUGUUUCCAUUUCCUUGGUUCUGUAUUUUGCUUUUAUGUUUCCUCCUCCUCCUCCUCCCCCCUCCUCCCCCCUUCUCCCUCCUCCUCCCUCCUCCUCCCUCCUCCUCCCCCCUCCUCCC
rnacentral:lncRNA from 1 species